GGGGGUGUAGCUCAGCGGUAGAGCGCGUGCUUAGCAUGCACGAGGCCCUGGGUUCAAUCCCCAGCACCUCCA
rnacentral:tRNA from 1 species